rnacentral:rRNA from 1 species
CAAUAGCGUAUAUUAAAGUUGUUGCAGUUAAAAAGCUCGUAGUUGAAUUUCUGGAGGGAGCGUCGGCCCGUAUUUACGAGUGCGUGACGUCUCUGUCCAUCCUUGCGGGAAGGCACGGCAUUGAUUUGUUGUGUCGGAUCGCAUCAUUUACUGUGAAAAAAUUAGAGUGUUCAAAGCAGGCUUUCGCUUGAAUACAUUAGCAUGGAAUAAUAAGAUAGGACUUUGGUGCUAUUUUGUUGGUUGAGCCUAAAGUAAUGAUUAAUAGGGAUAGUUGGGGGCACCUGUAUUGCGUUGUCAGAGGUGAAAUUCUUGGAUUUACGCAAGACAAACAGCUGCGAAAGCGUCUGCCAAGGAUGUUUUCAUUAA